rnacentral:piRNA from 1 species
UUCGUCGGAAAUACUUGAAUC